GAUGAACGCUGGCGGCGUGCCUAAUACAUGCAAGUAGAACGCUGAAGGAGGAGCUUGCUCUUCUGGAUGAGUUGCGAACGGGUGAGUAACGCGUAGGUAACCUGCCUGGUAGCGGGGGAUAACUAUUGGAAACGAUAGCUAAUACCGCAUGACAACAGUUAUUGCAUGAUAACUGUUUAAAAGGGGCAACUGCUCCACUACCAGAUGGACCUGCGUUGUAUUAGCUAGUUGGUGAGGUAACGGCUCACCAAGGCGACGAUACAUAGCCGACCUGACAGGGGGAUCGGCCACACUGGGACUGAGACACGGCCCAGACUCCUACGGGAGGCAGCAGUAGGGAAUCUUCGGCAAUGGACGGAAGUCUGACCGAGCAACGCCGCGUGAGUGAAGAAGGGUUUCGGAUCGUAAAGCUCUGUUGUAAGAGAAGAACGAGUGUGAGAGUGGAAAGUUCACACUGUGACGGUAUCUUACCAGAAAGGGACGGCUAACUACGUG
rnacentral:rRNA from 1 species